rnacentral:rRNA from 1 species
GCAAGUCGUACGAGAACUCUUCUGCUUGCAGAAGAUAGUAAAGUGGCGCACGGGUGAGUAACGCGUGGGUAAUCUACCUUCGAAUCGGGGAUAACAUUGCGAAAGCGAUGCUAAUACCGGAUAACAUUCUUUGGGCUCCGGUCCAUGGAAUCAAGGGUGGCCUCUUCAUGAAAGCUACUGUUUGAAGAUGAGCCCGCGUACCAUUAGCUUGUUGGUGGGGUAAUGGCCUACCAAGGCUUCGAUGGUUAGCUGGUCUGAGAGGAUGAUC